AGAGUUUGAUCCUGGCUCAGGAUGAACGCUGGCGGCGUGCCUAAUACAUGCAAGUCGAGCGAACGGACGAGAAGCUUGCUUCUCUGAUGUUAGCGGCGGACGGGUGAGUAACACGUGGAUAACCUACCUAUAAGACUGGGAUAACUUCGGGAAACCGGAGCUAAUACCGGAUAAUAUUUUGAACCGCAUGGUUCAAAAGUGAAAGACGGUCUUGCUGUCACUUAUAGAUGGAUCCGCGCUGCAUUAGCUAGUUGGUAAGUAACGGCUUACCAAGGCAACGAUGCAUAGCCGACCUGAGAGGGUGAUCGGCCACACUGGAACUGAGACACGGUCCAGACUCCUACGGGAGGCAGCAGUAGGGAAUCUUCCGCAAUGGGCGAAAGCCUGACGGAGCAACGCCGCGUGAGUGAUGAAGGUCUUCGGAUCGUAAAACUCUGUUAUUAGGGAAGAACAUAUGUGUAAGUAACUGUGCACAUCUUGACGGUACCUAAUCAGAAAGCCACGGCUAACUACGUGCCAGCAGCCGCGGUAAUACGUAGGUGGCAAGCGUUAUCCGGAAUUAUUGGGCGUAAAGCGCGCGUAGGCGGUUUUUUAAGUCUGAUGUGAAAGCCCACGGCUCAACCGUGGAGGGUCAUUGGAAACUGGAAAACUUGAGUGCAGAAGAGGAAAGUGGAAUUCCAUGUGUAGCGGUGAAAUGCGCAGAGAUAUGGAGGAACACCAGUGGCGAAGGCGACUUUCUGGUCUGUAACUGACGCUGAUGUGCGAAAGCGUGGGGAUCAAACAGGAUUAGAUACCCUGGUAGUCCACGCCGUAAACGAUGAGUGCUAAGUGUUAGGGGGUUUCCGCCCCUUAGUGCUGCAGCUAACGCAUUAAGCACUCCGCCUGGGGAGUACGACCGCAAGGUUGAAACUCAAAGGAAUUGACGGGGACCCGCACAAGCGGUGGAGCAUGUGGUUUAAUUCGAAGCAACGCGAAGAACCUUACCAAAUCUUGACAUCCUUUGACAACUCUAGAGAUAGAGCCUUCCCCUUCGGGGGACAAAGUGACAGGUGGUGCAUGGUUGUCGUCAGCUCGUGUCGUGAGAUGUUGGGUUAAGUCCCGCAACGAGCGCAACCCUUAAGCUUAGUUGCCAUCAUUAAGUUGGGCACUCUAAGUUGACUGCCGGUGACAAACCGGAGGAAGGUGGGGAUGACGUCAAAUCAUCAUGCCCCUUAUGAUUUGGGCUACACACGUGCUACAAUGGACAAUACAAAGGGCAGCGAAACCGCGAGGUCAAGCAAAUCCCAUAAAGUUGUUCUCAGUUCGGAUUGUAGUCUGCAACUCGACUACAUGAAGCUGGAAUCGCUAGUAAUCGUAGAUCAGCAUGCUACGGUGAAUACGUUCCCGGGUCUUGUACACACCGCCCGUCACACCACGAGAGUUUGUAACACCCGAAGCCGGUGGAGUAACCUUUUAGGAGCUAGCCGUCGAAGGUGGGACAAAUGAUUGGGGUGAAGUCGUAACAAGGUAGCCGUAUCGGAAGGUGCGGCUGGAUCACCU
rnacentral:rRNA from 1 species